rnacentral:rRNA from 1 species
GGAGGACGCCGCCGAAGGUAAAACUGGUGAUUGGGGUGAAGUCGUAACAAGGUAGCCGUAGGAGAACCUGCGGCUGGAUCACCUCCUUU